rnacentral:rRNA from 1 species
GACGAACGCUGGCGGCGUGCUUAACACAUGCAAGUCGAGCGGAGCGGCGAACGGGUGAGUAACGCGUGAGUAACUGCCCCCCUCUCUGGGAUAACAGUUGGAAACGGCUGCUAAUACCGGAUAGUGGGGGAUGACUCGCGUCCUAUCAGCUUGUUGGUGGGGUAGGGGCCUACCAAGGCGACGACGGGUAGCCGGCCUGAGAGGGCGACCGGCCACAUUGGUCUGAGAGACGUCCCAAACUCCUACGGGAGGCAGCAGUGGGGAAUAUUGCACAAUGGGUGAAACCCUGAUGCAGCAACGCCGCGUGCGUGAUGACGGCCCGCCGGUUGUAAACCGCUAUCAGCGAUGAUGCGGUAUUUGCAGAAGAAGCACCGGCUAAUCACGGGUCAGCAGCCGCGGUAAUUC